rnacentral:rRNA from 1 species
AGAGUUUGAUCCUGGCUCAGGACGAACGCUGGCGGCGUGCUUAACACAUGCAAGUGGUGCGACGAACCAGGGCUUGCCCUGGGGCCAAGCCGCGAACGGGUGAGUAACACGUGAGUAACCUGCCCCGAUGACCGGGACAACCCGAGGAAACUCGGGCUAAUACCGGAUGUGGCGCACAAUCGUAAGUUUGUGCGCUAAAGGAAGCUUCGGCCUCCGCAUUGGGAGGGGCUCGCGGCCCAUUAGCUUGUUGGUGGGGUAACGGCCUACCAAGGCAACGAUGGGUAGCUGGUCUGAGAGGACGAUCAGCCACACUGGGACUGAGACACGGCCCAGACUCCUACGGGAGGCAGCAGUGGGGAAUCUUGCGCAAUGCGCGAAAGCGUGACGCAGCAACGCCGCGUGGGGGAAGACGGCCUUCGGGUUGUAAA